rnacentral:rRNA from 1 species
AUUCCAGCUCCAAUAGCGUAUAUUAAAGUUGUUGCAGUUAAAAAGCUCGUAGUCUGACCGUUGUCCUGGCAUUGAGCGUCCGUGGUUACUGAUCAUGUGUACGCGAGGUGCUGGACACUACCUUCGGAGGAGCGUUCGUGCUUUUAACUAAGUGCGUGCGGGAUUCCGAUAGUUUACUUUGAGAAAAAUAGAGUGUUCAAAGCAGGCGUUUGCCUUGAAUACAUUAGCAUGGGAUAAUGAAAUAGGACGUUGGUUCUACUUUGAUGGUUUACGGACCGACGUAAUGAUUAAUAGGGACAGUUGGGGACAUUUAUAUUCCAUGGCUAGAGGUGAAAUUCUUGGAUUCAUGGAAGAUAAACUACUGCGAAAGCAUUUGUCAAAGAUGUUUUCAUCA